UGGGGAAUCUUGCGCAAUGGGCGAAAGCCUGACGCAGCGACGCCGCGUGAGGGAGGAAGGCCUUCGGGUUGUAAACCUCUUUCAGGAGGGACGAAGCUACUCGGGUGAAUAGCCCAGAGGGUGACGGUACCUCCAGAAGAAGCCCCGGCUAACUACGUGCCAGCAGCCGCGGUAAUACGUAGGGGGCAAGCGUUGUCCGGAUUUACUGGGCGUAAAGCGCGUGUAGGCGGCCACGCAGGUCCGUUGUGAAAACUGGAGGCUCAACCUCCAGACGUCGACGGAAACCGUGUGGCUAGAGUCCGGAAGAGGAGAGUGGAAUUCCUGGUGUAGCGGUGAAAUGCGCAGAUAUCAGGAAGAACACCAAUGGCGAAGGCAGCUCUCUGGGACGGUACUGACGCUGAGACGCGAAAGCGUGGGGAGCGAACAGGAUUAGAUACCCUGGUAGUCCACGCCGUAAACGAUGGGUGCUAGGUGUGGGAGGUGUCGACUCCUUCCGUGCCGUAGCUAACG
rnacentral:rRNA from 1 species